rnacentral:rRNA from 1 species
CCUACGGGAGGCAGCAGUGGGGAAUUUUGGACAAUGGGCGAAAGCCUGAUCCAGCAAUGCCGCGUGCAGGAAGAAGGCCUUCGGGUUGUAAACUGCUUUUGUACGGAACGAAACGGUUCGCUUUAAUACAGUGGGCUAAUGACGGUACCGUAAGAAUAAGCACCGGCUAACUACGUGCCAGCAGCCGCGGUAAUACGUAGGGUGCGAGCGUUAAUCGGAAUUACUGGGCGUAAAGCGUGCGCAGGCGGUUAUAUAAGACAGUUGUGAAAUCCCCGGGCUCAACCUGGGAAUUGCAUCUGUGACUGUAUAGCUAGAGUACGGUAGAGGGGGAUGGAAUUCCGCGUGUAGCAGUGAAAUGCGUAGAUAUGCGGAGGAACACCGAUGGCGAAGGCAAUCCCCUGGACCUGUACUGACGCUCAUGCACGAAAGCGUGGGGAGCAAACAGGAUUAGAUACCCUGGUAGUCCACGCCCUAAACGAUGUCAACUGGUUGUUGGGUGCAUUAGUACUCAGUAACGAAGCUAACGCGUGAAGUUGACCGCCUGGGGAGUACGGCCGCAAGGUUGAAACUUAAUGAAUUGACGG